GACGAACGCUGGCGGCGCGCUUAACACAUGCAAGUCGAGCGAGAACCAGGCCUUCGGGCUUGGGGAAAGCGGCGAACGGGUGAGUAACACGUGGGCAACCCACCCUUGGUACCGGGAUAGCCCGAGGAAACUCGGAUUAAUACCGGAUGGCCCAACAGCUCUUCGGGGCGGUUGGAAAAGGUAGCUUCGGCCUCCGACCAAGGACGGGCCCGCGGCGGAUUAGCUUGUUGGUGAGGUAACGGCUCACCAAGGCGACGAUCCGUAGCUGGUCUGAGAGGACGAUCAGCCACACUGGGACUGAGACACGGCCCAGACUCCUACGGGUGGCUG
rnacentral:rRNA from 1 species